rnacentral:rRNA from 1 species
GACGAACGCUGGCGGCGUGCUUAACACAUGCAAGUCGAACGGACAGGCCCUGCUGUUGUGGGCUGGUCGAUUGCGGAACGGGUGAGUAUCACGUGUGUAACCUGCCCCUGACUUACUGAUAACAUUACGGAACUGGGGCUAAUACCCGAUAUGAUCUCCUGCUGCAUGGUGGGGGUUCGUACGUUUCGGCGGUUGGGGAUGGACUCGCGGGUUAUCAGCUUGUUGGGGAGGUAGUGGCUUACCAAGGCUUUGACGGGUAGCCUGCCUGGGCGGGGGACCGGCCACAUUAGGACUGAGAUACGACCCAGACUCGAACCGGAGGCAACGGUGGGGAGUAGUGCACAAUGGACGGAAGCCUGAUGCAACAACGCCGCGUGCGGGAUGACGGGCUUCUGGUUGUAAACAAAUGUCGACUGUACCGAGGCGUGAGUGACGGUACCGGGUAAAGAAGCACCGGCUAACUACGUG